UACAGAGGUCCCGAGCGUUGUUCGGAUUCACUGGGCGUAAAGGGUGCGUAGGCGGUUUGUCACGUCGGAUGUGAAAACCCGAGGCUUAACCUCGGGCCUGCAUUCGAUACGGGCUGACUAGAGUUCGGUAGGGGAGACUGGAAUUCCUGGUGUAGCGGUGAAAUGCGCAGAUAUCAGGAGGAACACCGGUGGCGAAGGCGGGUCUCUGGGCCGAUACUGACGCUGGAGGAGCGAAAGCGUGGGGAGCGAACAGG
rnacentral:rRNA from 1 species